CAGGCUUAACACAUGCAAGUCGAGGGGCAGCAUGGUCUUAGCUUGCUAAGGCCGAUGGCGACCGGCGCACGGGUGAGUAACACGUAUCCAACCUGCCGUCUACUCUUGGACAGCCUUCUGAAAGGAAGAUUAAUACAAGAUGGCAUCAUGAGUCCGCAUGUUCACAUGAUUAAAGGUAUUCCGGUAGACGAUGGGGAUGCGUUCCAUUAGAUAGUAGGCGGGGUAACGGCCCACCUAGUCUUCGAUGGAUAGGGGUUCUGAGAGGAAGGUCCCCCACAUUGGAACUGAGACACGGUCCAAACUCCUACGGGAGGCAGCAGUGAGGAAUAUUGGUCAAUGGGCGAGAGCCUGAACCAGCCAAGUAGCGUGAAGGAUGACUGCCCUAUGGGUUGUAAACUUCUUUUAUAAAGGAAUAAAGUCGGGUAUGGAUACCCGUUUGCAUGUACUUUAUGAAUAAGGAUCGGCUAACUCCGUGCCAGCAGCCGCGGUAAUACGGAGGAUCCGAGCGUUAUCCGGAUUUAUUGGGUUUAAAGGGAGCGUAGAUGGAUGUUUAAGUCAGUUGUGAAAGUUCGCGGCUCAACCGUAAAAUUGCAGUUGAUACUGGAUAUCUUGAGUGCAGUUGAGGCAGGCGGAAUUCGUGGUGUAGCGGUGAAAUGCUUAGAUAUCACGAAGAACUCCGAUUGCGAAGGCAGCCUGCUAAGCUGCAACUGACAUUGAGGCUCGAAAGUGUGGGUAUCAAACAGGAUUAGAUACCCUGGUAGUCCACACGGUAAACGAUGAAUACUCGCUGUUUGCGAUAUACUGCAAGCGGCCAAGCGAAAGCGUUAAGUAUUCCACCUGGGGAGUACGCCGGCAACGGUGAAACUCAAAGGAAUUGACGGGGGCCCGCACAAGCGGAGGAACAUGUGGUUUAAUUCGAUGAUACGCGAGGAACCUUACCCGGGCUUAAAUUGCAGAUGAAUUACGGUGAAAGCCGUAAGCCGCAAGGCAUCUGUGAAGGUGCCGCAUGGUUGUCGUCAGCUCGUGCCGUGAGGUGUCGGCUUAAGUGCCAUAACGAGCGCAACCCUUGUUGUCAGUUACUAACAGGUUCCGCUGAGGACUCUGACAAGACUGCCAUCGUAAGAUGUGAGGAAGGUGGGGAUGACGUCAAAUCAGCACGGCCCUUACGUCCGGGGCUACACACGUGUUACAAUGGGGGGUACAGAGGGUCGCUACCACGCGAGUGGAUGCCAAUCCCCAAAACCUCUCUCAGUUCGGACUGGAGUCUGCAACCCGACUCCACGAAGCUGGAUUCGCUAGUAAUCGCGCAUCAGCCACGGCGCGGUGAAUACGUUCCCGGGCCUUGUACACACCGCCCGUCAAGCCAUGGGAGCCGGGGGUACCUGAAGUGCGUAACCGCGAGGAGCGCCCUAGGGUAAAACUGGUGACUGGGGCUAA
rnacentral:rRNA from 1 species